AGGGUUCGAUCCUGGCUCAGAACGUACGCUGGCGGCACGCCUAACACAUGCAAGUCGAACGAAGUAGCAAUACUUAGUGGCAGACGGGUGAGUAACAUGUAGGUAUCUACCCUUUGGCCUGGAAUAACACGAGGAAACUUGUGCUAAUACCGGAUAAGUCUUUACGGAGAAAGCUUUAUGCACCAUUGGAUGAGCCUGCACUUGAUUAGUUUGUUGGUGGGGUAAUGGCCUACCAAGACUGUGAUCAAUAGCUGAUCUGAGAGGAUGAUCAGCCACAUUGGGACUGAGACACGGCCCAAACUCCUACGGGAGGCAGCAGUGGGGAAUCUUGCACAAUGGAGGAAACUCUGAUGCAGCGAUGCCGCGUGAGUGAAGAAGGCCCUUGGGUUGUAAAGCUCUUUCGUCGGGGAAGAAAAUGACUGUACCCGAAUAAGAAGGUCCGGCUAACUUCGUGCCAGCAGCCGCGGUAAUACGAAGGGACCUAGCGUAGUUCGGAAUUACUGGGCUUAAAGAGUUCGUAGGUGGUUGAAAAAGUUAGUGGUGAAAUCCCAGAGCUUAACUCUGGAACUGCCAUUAAAACUUUUCAGCUAGAGUAUGAUAGAGGAAAGCAGAAUUUUUAGUGUAGAGGUGAAAUUCGUAGAUAUUAGAAAGAAUACCAAUUGCGAAGGCAGCUUUCUGGAUCAUUACUGACACUGAGGAACGAAAGCAUGGGUAGCGAAGAGGAUUAGAUACCCUCGUAGUCCAUGCCGUAAACGAUGUGUGUUAGACGUUGGAAAUUUAUUUUCAGUGUCGCAGCGAAAGCGAUAAACACACCGCCUGGGGAGUACGACCGCAAGGUUAAAACUCAAAUGAAUUGACGGGGACCCGCACAAGUAGUGGAGCAUGUGGUUUAAUUCGAAGAUACGCGCAGAACCUUACCAACACUUGACAUGUUCGUCGCGACUCUAAGAGAUUAGAGUUCUCGGUUCGGCCGGACGAAACACAGGUGCUGCAUGGCUGUCGUCAGCUCGUGUCGUGAGAUGUUGGGUUAAGUCCCGCAACGAGCGCAACCCUCACUUUUAGUUGCCAUCAUUAAGUUGGGCACUCUGAAAGAACUGCCAGUGAUAAGCUGGAGGAAGGUGGGGAUGACGUCAAGUCCUCAUGGCCCUUACGUGUUGGGCUACACACGUGCUACAAUGGUAUCUACAACAGGAAGCAAGACUGCGAGGUCAAGCAAAUCCUUAAAAGAUACCUCAGUUCGGAUUGCACUCUGCAACUCGAGUGCAUGAAGCUGGAAUUACUAGUAAUCGUGGAUCAGCGUGCCACGGUGAAUGCGUUCCCGGGUCUUGUACACACCGCCCGUCACACCAUGGGAGUUGGUUCUACCUUAAGGCAAGGUUUAAAACCCUUGACCACGGUAUAGUCAGCGACUGGGGUGAAGUCGUAACAAGGUAACCAAGGG
rnacentral:rRNA from 1 species